rnacentral:rRNA from 1 species
UACAGAGGGUGCAAGCGUUGUUCGGAAUUAUUGGGCGUAAAGGGCGCGUAGGCGGUUCGGCAAGUCUCUAGUGAAAUCUCUGGGCUCAACUCAGAGUCUGCUGGGGAAACUGCCGGGCUUGAGUGUGGGAGAGGAGAGUGGAAUUCCCGGUGUAGCGGUGAAAUGCGUAGAUAUCAGGAAGAACACCCGUGGCGAAGGCGGCUCUCUGGAACGCAACUGACGCUGAGACGCGAAAGCGUGGGGAGCAAACAGG